GAUGAACGCUGGCGGCGUGCCUAAUACAUGCAAGUCGAGCGAACGGACGAGAAGCUUGCUUCUCUGAUGUUAGCGGCGGACGGGUGAGUAACACGUGGAUAACCUACCUAUAAGACUGGGAUAACUUCGGGAAACCGGAGCUAAUACCGUAUGAUAUUUUGAACCGCAUGGUUCAAAAGUGAAAGACGGUCUUUCUGUCACUUAUAGAUGGAUCCGCGCUGCAUUAGCUAGUUGGUAAGGUAACGGCUUACCAAGGCAACGAUGCAUAGCCGACCUGAGAGGGUGAUCGGCCACACUGGAACUGAGACACGGUCAAGACGCCUAAGGGAGGCAGCAGUAGGGAAUCUUCCGCAAAGGGCGAAAGCAUGACGGAGCAACGCCGCGUGAGUGAUGAAGGUCUUCGGAUCGUAAAACUCUGUUAUUAGGGAAGAACAUAUGUGUAAGGAAAUGUGCACAUCUUGACGGUACCUAAUCAGAAAGCCACGGCUAACUACGUG
rnacentral:rRNA from 1 species